UACGUAGGGGGCAAGCGUUGUCCGGAUUUAUUGGGCGUAAAGAGCGUGUAGGCGGCUGGGUAGGUCCGCUGUGAAAACUCGAGGCUCAACCUCGAGACGUCGGCGGAAACCAUCCAGCUAGAGUCCGGAAGAGGAGAGUGGAAUUCCUGGUGUAGCGGUGAAAUGCGCAGAUAUCAGGAAGAACACCCGUGGCGAAAGCGGCUCUCUGGGACGGUACUGACGCUGAGACGCGAAAGCGUGGGGAGCGAACAGG
rnacentral:rRNA from 1 species